rnacentral:rRNA from 1 species
GACGAACGCUGGCGGCGCGCUUAACACAUGCAAGUCGAGCGAAAACCAGGGCUUCGGCUCUGGGGACAGCGGCGAACGGGUGAGUAACACGUGGAUAACCUGCCCUCGGCACCGGGAUAGCCCGGGGAAACUCGGAUUAAUACCGGAUAGCCCUUCCGACUCUCGAGUCGGUCCGAAAAGGUAGCUUCGGCCUCUGGCCGAGGAUGGGUCCGCGGCGGAUUAGCUUGUUGGUGGGGUAACGGCCUACCAAGGCUU